GGGCCCAUAGUUAAUAUAUAACAUAAAAUUGCAGAUUUUGAGUAGGGACUAGCUCUGGGCCCU
rnacentral:tRNA from 2 species